rnacentral:rRNA from 1 species
GACGAACGCUGGCGGGGUGCCUAAUACAUGCAAGUCGAGCGAAGUUUUUCCGGUGCUUGCACCGGAAAAACUUAGCGGCGAACGGGUGAGUAACACGUAAAGAACCUGCCUCAUAGACUGGGACAACUAUUGGAAACGAUAGCUAAUACCGGAUAAUAGCAUUAACUGCAUGGUUGAUGUUUAAAAGUUGGUUUUGCUAACACUAUGAGAUGGCUUUGCGGUGCAUUAGCUAGUUGGUGGGGUAAAGGCCUACCAAGGCGACGAUGCAUAGCCGACCUGAGAUGGUGAUCGGCCACACUGGGACUGAGACACGGCCCAGACUCCUACGGGAGGCAGCAGUAGGGAAUCUUCCGCAAUGGGCGAAAGCCUGACGGAGCAACGCCGCGUGAGUGAAGAAGGAUUUCGGUUCGUAAAGCUCUGUUGUUAGGGAAGAAUGAUUGUGUAGUAACUAUACACAGUAGAGACGGUACCUAACCAGAAAGCCACGGCUAACUACGUG